GACGAACGCUGGCGGCGUGCUUAACACAUGCAAGUCGAACGAGAACGGAUUAUAGCUUGCUAUAAUUGUCAGCUAAGUGGCGCACGGGUGAGUAAUGUAUAGGUAAUAUGCCUCUUACUAAGGGAUAACAAAUGGAAACGUUUGCUAAUACCUUAUACUCCUUAUUAACAGAAGUUAAUAAGGGAAAGAUUUAUUGGUAAGAGAUUAGCCUGUAUUGUAUCAGUUAGUUGGUGGGGUAAUGGCUUACCAAGACUAUGACACAUAACUGGUUUGAGGGGAUGAUCAGUCACACUGGAACUGAGACACGGUCCAGACUCCUACGGGAGGCAGCAGUGGGGAAUAUUGCACAAUGGACGAAAGUCUGAUGCAGCAACGCCGCGUGGAGGAUGACACAUUUCGGUGCGUAAACUCCUUUUAUAUGAGAAGAUAAUGACGGUAUUAUAUGAAUAAGCACCGGCUAACUCCGUGCCAGCAGCCGCAGUAA
rnacentral:rRNA from 1 species